GUUCUUAACGUUCGGGUAAUCGCUGCAGAUCUUGAAUCUGUAGAGGAAAGUCCAUGCUCGCACGGUGCUGAGAUGCCCGUAGUGUUCGUGCCUAGCGAAGUCAUAAGCUAGGGCAGUCUUUAGAGGCUGACGGCAGGAAAAAAGCCUACGUCUUCGGAUAUGGCUGAGUAUCCUUGAAAGUGCCACAGUGACGAAGUCUCACUAGAAAUGGUGAGAGUGGAACGCGGUAAACCCCUCGAGCGAGAAACCCAAAUUUUGGUAGGGGAACCUUCUUAACGGAAUUCAACGGAGAGAAGGACAGAAUGCUUUCUGUAGAUAGAUGAUUGCCGCCUGAGUACGAGGUGAUGAGCCGUUUGCAGUACGAUGGAACAAAACAUGGCUUACAGAACGUUAGACCACUUACAUUUAAAAUGAUGAAAACAAGCUCUCCCGUAUAAGGAGAGCUUUUAUCUUGAAAAGAGAAAAGUUUUAAAAGACAGGGUGAUACGAUGAAGAAGUAUACACUAAUUGCAACGGCGCCGAUGGGCAUUGAAGCUGUUGUCGCAAAGGAAGUACGAGAUUUAGGAUACGAAUGCAAGGUUGAUAACGGGAAAGUUAUUUUUGAAGGUGAUGCACUUGCCAUCUGCCGUGCGAACCUUUGGCUUAGAACAGCCGACCGCAUAAAGGUUCAGGUUGCUUCUUUUAAAGCGAAAACAUUUGAUGAACUGUUUGAAAAAACGAAAGGCGAUUAACUGGCGCUCAUUUAUACCUGAAAACGGGAAAUUCCCUGUCAUCGGAAAAUCGGUAAAAUCAACACUUGCAAGCGUUCCUGACUGUCAGCGAUCGUCAAAAAAGCAAUUGUCGAAAAGCUCAAGCUGCAG
rnacentral:misc_RNA from 1 species